rnacentral:rRNA from 1 species
AUUGAACGCUGGCGGCAUGCCUUACACAUGCAAGUCGAACGGUAACAGGUUAAGCUGACGAGUGGCGAACGGGUGAGUAAUAUAUCGGAACGUGCCCAGUCGUGGGGGAUAACGUAGCGAAAGCUACGCUAAUACCGCAUACGAUCUACGGAUGAAAGCGGGGGAUCGCAAGACCUCGCGCGAUUGGAGCGGCCGAUAUCAGAUUAGGUUGUUGGUGAGGUAAAAGCUCACCAAGCCUGCGAUCUGUAGCUGGUCUGAGAGGACGACCAGCAACACUGGGACUGGGACACGGUCCAGACUCCUACGGGAGGCAGCAGUGGGGAAUUUUGGACAAUGGACGCAAGUCUGAUCCAGCAAUGCCGCGUGCAGGACGAAGGCCUUCGGGUUGUAAACUGCUUUUGUACGGAACGAAACGGUGAGCUCUAAUACAGUUUGCUAAUGACGGUACCGUAAGAAUAAGCACCGGCUAACUACGUGCCAGCCGCCGCCGUAA